rnacentral:rRNA from 1 species
ACGGUCUCGUUGGUGACCAGCGGAGGGACAUUAAAGAGUUAAAAACAACUCCUAAACCCAUGUGAAACCUACCUUUGUUGCCUCGGCAGGUCUGCAACUUACCCUGAGGGUACCUACCCUGUAGGUACCUUACCCGGUAGUUACCUUACCCGGUAGUUGCGGGCAUAACCUGCCGGUGGUCUACUAAACUCUGUUUACUAUGUCAUUCUGAAUAAUAUAACUAAAUAAGUUAAAACUUUCAACAACGGAUCUCUUGGUUCUGGCAUCGAUGAAGAACGCAGCGAAAUGCGAUAAGUAAUGUGAAUUGCAGAAUUCAGUGAAUCAUCGAAUCUUUGAACGCACAUUGCGCCCAUUAGUAUUCUAGUGGGCAUGCCUGUUCGAGCGUCAUUUCAACCCUUAAGCCCUGUUGCUUAGCGUUGGGAGCCUACAGAUACCCUCUGUAGUUCCUUAAAGUUAGUGGCGGAGUCGGUUUCACACUCUAGACGUAGUAAAUUUUAUCUCGCCUAUAGAUGAGCCGGUCCCUUGCCGUAAAACCCCCUAAUUUCUAAAGGUUGACCUCGGAUCAGGUAGGAAUACCCGCUGAACUUAAGCAUAUCAA